rnacentral:rRNA from 1 species
AUUGAACGCUGGCGGCAGGCUUAACACAUGCAAGUCGAGCGGGGAAAGGUAGCUUGCUACCUGACCUAGCGGCGGACGGGUGAGUAAUGCUUAGGAAUCUGCCUAUUAGUGGGGGACAACAUCUCGAAAGGGAUGCUAAUACCGCAUACGUCCUACGGGAGAAAGCAGGGGACCUUCGGGCCUUGCGCUAAUAGAUGAGCCUAAGUCGGAUUAGCUAGUUGGUGGGGUAAAGGCCUACCAAGGCGACGAUCUGUAGCGGGUCUGAGAGGAUGAUCCGCCACACUGGGACUGAGACACGGCCCAGACUCCUACGGGAGGCAGCAGUGGGGAAUAUUGGACAAUGGGGGGAACCCUGAUCCAGCCAUGCCGCGUGUGUGAAGAAGGCCUUUUGGUUAUAAAGCACUUUAAGCGAGGAGGAGGCUACCGAGAUUAAUACUCUUGGAUAGUGGACGUUACUCGCAGAAUAAGCACCGGCUAACUCUGUGCCAGCAGCCGCGGUAA